AUCAAGUUCCACUUUCCCCAGAGAUGCAAGUAAUGUUAAUAUGCUCCAGGCAACAACGAUAAAAUUCCUUUGUCAGUGGAGCUCCAACUAAAACAAUUACUCAAAAGAAUAUAAGGAAAAAGAUAAAUUUAACACUUAGAAAACUCUCCAGAAGGAUUAUAUUCUUGGUAGAAUUGAAAAUUUUGCAGAUGAAAGAGCUCAAUCACUCGCAUCUUAAGCUAAAUUACAAAAAAAUGUUUCAACUCUAAGCUAUUCUGACAAUGAAGAUGGUCGGCCAGAAUCUUCGAACUCAUCUUUAAACUUCAUGUUGCAUGCGCUCACACGUGGGUCAUUUUCACAGCAAGUCCAACCUAAUACAUCAUAUCUAUCUAAUCAGGUUAGGACCGCAGGCAAAAGAUUGAAUCUUCAGUAAGAAAUAUAAAUAACAAGCAAGAAGAAGCCAUCUUCUGAUAAUAUCAUUGAAAAAUGGAAAAUAUCAUGCUAUGUUCACAAGCAGCUAGGUUUUCAUCAACUUGCACAGGCUACAUCUUGAUCUGCAUGGUUGUAAAACAAGCUCAAUUUAGCAAUAGCAAGCGCUCUCCAAAAAGUAAUGCUUGUGUAGAUUUCAAUAUAUGAACUUCCACGAAAUCUCCAAUGACAGGAUUCCACUUGUUAUUCAAAUCCAGAUCUCGAUUUGGCACUGGCAGAUUGGCAAAUAAAACUCUCUCGCCUCUAUCACUCUUGCCUAUAAGUUCUGUAUCUGCUCUUUUAUUCAGCCCCUCCACUAACAGUAGUUGGAUAGUUCCAAUCUGGGAGUCAUAACUCAUAAUACUGACCAGUACUCUUACGGAAAGCCUCGAUAAGUUCAGUAACCCUCUUUUGCUUGACUUAAUCAGCAACAUCAUCAACAUAGUUCCCGUGGGCAUGGAUCUUUUUCUUCAUGCUAUAUGCAAACAUGUAUGCCAUAUCAUAACCAACAGCCCUGAUAAGACUUAUUGUGUCUUUGUGUUCCUCUUCUGUUUCUCCACAGAAACCUGUAAAAAGGAAUCUGAAUAUUAAGAAGGCAAUACUAAAACAGAGAUUCAACUCCACUUGAAUUGAAAGCAAUAAUAAUAUGGAUCCCAAAUGAAGGAGCAAUUCUUAUUUAGACCAUCUAAAAUCCAAAUCAAAAUUGAAAGCCCAAAUGUAUAAUGACAAACAAGGAGGAUGGUUAAGGUUGAGGAUAUUUGAGCUUUUCAUCGCAUAUUAGCUGAGGCAGUUAACAUAAACAGUUAAACACGUGAGCACAGAACAAUACGAUCACUAAGUACAACUGGACGUUAAAAUUAGCACAUAAAUAAAAACCAUGCCUAGAGAAAUAAAUAAGACCUGUAAGAUUCCUGCAGGAACAGGCAUGAAUGUCCUAUAAUAGCCUGAUUUACUUAAUAUUAGGCUCUGAAGAAUAUUAGCAAGCACCACAGAUAUAUGUCUCAAGUCAACCCUUUCAGCUUAAUGUUUACAAAACUAUAAUUUCAUAUCAGCCCAUAUCCUAAACUUUGUGAAAAUUUUCAAUUCUAUCUAAUUCUAAAAAUUUUAUCAAUUUGCUCUAUAUUCUUUCAAAUUGAUAACAUUUUUAUCCAAUACUUGAGGAGUGUGAGCCAUUGCCGCUUCUUGUCAGCACUUAGAAGUACAAAAAUCUUAGUUGGAAACCAACCCACAACACCCCCCAACACCCCCUGCCAAAGUACUCUAAAACAACAAAAAUGAAACUGUUUUUGGCUACUCCUUUUCAAGUCAGUCUCUACAUUAUCUCUCUGUUUUUUCUUAGAAAGAAAGAAAGCUUUUAUUCUUGGACGCCUCUUUCAUCUCAUGUUUAUCAUCAUUUCUCUAUUUCUAGUGUAAAACGAGAAUAACAUAGGCACAAGAGAAGAGAAGAUCAACAAGAUCUAAAAAGCAAUUAGGUCAGACAUGCUUGAUUCCAACAUCUACACACUGAAAAUGGUAACCAGAUCUUAACCACAUACUUGCUAUUGAUAAUGUCAAGUGCAUGGUUACCAGCACUAGGGUUAGGGCUUCAAUUGAAAUCAAGUAGGAAGGGUUUCAUGAACCAGAAAAAUCAGCAUUGAAAUUGAUGACCCAGAUGAAAGUGGAACUGGAUAUGGGGUUUGAAGGUAAAAGGUGAAUGAAAGAAGAUAUGAAAUUGGAUCAGUGCCCAAUAAGUAGGAGUCAAAAAUGUUGCUUGAUAAAAUUUUGCGGGCAACAAAUACUAAGCUAUCUUGGCGGAAGAAUGUCUCAGUAGUCGAUACCUAGAUCAUCAAACAAGAGAAACCUCAGAAUGGGAGAUCAGACUAAAAAAAGAUAAGCUAAAUAAUCAGAUAUCACAGUGAUAAUGAUAAAGGAGUCUGAUGUAAGCAAGAAGAAACAAAAUUAGAGAGUAAUUAACCACUUUUUUUUUUCCAAAAACUAUCAGGGGGAUGCCGUUUAAAGAGUUGCCAAUUCUCACAAGGUAGAUUUGACGAGUGUAAGGGAGAUUUAUCUAUAAGAGCUCCAAGAUGGGCCAAGUCAGGUCACUGCUUGCGCUGGCAGCUUGGAAAGGAGGAGUAUCCAAAAGAGUGCUGUUUUGUUGUUUGAAGGCAUUGCAAAAAUAAAUCACACACAAACUCACAAAAUAAGCAAAAAAAAGAAUGAUCAAAUAAAGAAUAAACAGAUUUAUGUGGUUUGGCAAUGUGCCUACGUCCACGAAGUCGUUGUAGUCCUUUCACCAUAAGAAGAAAUCCACCUUACAUCAUAUUAGGGUUACGCUUUGCUUCUCUCACCCCUCCAUGCACAACAUCCCCUCCUUUGCUGAACCUUCAAGUGUUCCACAUAUAACAUCACUGCUAAUCCCGACAUCUGGCAUGAUUCUUCUUAUCUUUUGCACAAGAUCUAAGUAUGCCUCUCUAGUAUAUCCCCGACGCAUUCUCUCAAGUACUGUGCUACUCCCAGUUUGUGCAGGUAAAUGAAUAUUUUUGCAGAUAUUAUAUCUGUCUCGCAUAACAUACAAUAAGUCAUCUGGGAAGUCUUUAGGGUGGGGUGAUGUGUAUCUGAACCGCAUCUCAGGAAAUUCAGUGGAAAGCCGAUCCAAUAGAUCGGAAAAACGCAAUCCCACCUUCUUCACCUUGCACAUGCUUGAAAAGCCUUCACUAAAUUUCCAAUUUGAUCCCAGUUCAGCUUCUUUGUCAAUCCCAGAUGUAUCAUUAUAGCUGUUCACAUUCUGACCAAGAAGAGUUACCUCUUUCACUCCUUCCUUCCAGAGUUCUGCCACCUCCUUCACUAUUGAAUCCACUGGACGUGACCGCUCUCUGCCUCUAGUAAAUGGAACAAUGCAAAACGAGCACAUAUUAUUGCAACCCCUCAUCACUGAGACAAAAGCACUAAUUGAAUUCUUGGAGAUUCGAACUGGACUAAUAUCAGCAUAAGUCUCUUCAAGUGAAAGUAGAGUAUUGAUCCCCUUUUGGCCAUAGUCUACCUCCUCCAGUAAUCGUGGUAAAUCUCUGUAGGCAUCAGGUCCACAAACCACAUCAACCAUCUUAUCUGCAUCAAGUAUCUUGUCCUUCAACCUCUCAGCCAUACAUCCCAAAACAACCACCUUAGGAGGACUAAGUGACUGUGACCUUCCAAUAGCAACGCUGCUCUUCCAAUGUCUCUUUAGAAACCAAAAGUAAUUAAGUCUCUGCCACACUUUGUGUUCAGCAUUGUCCCUUAUAGCACAAGUAUUGAUGAAUAUGAUCUCAGCAUUUUCAGGAACAUCUACAACUUCACUAUAUCCAGCAUCCUUCAUAAUAGAUAGGACAAUCUCCAUAUCAUUGAUAUUCAUCUGACAUCCAUAAGUCUCAUGAUAAAUACGGCCUCUUGGAUGAAUUUCAGACUCUGGAGAAACUUCUGCAGCUGGUACAAGGUUGGGCUGUGUUUGGGCAGUAGAAAGAGCAGCCUGUGCGACGAAGUGGUGAAGACCUAGAACGUCGGUCUUAUUAGACAAAGAAUGGUGAGAGUGAGACAAGCUUCUGGAGAGAUGAAGAAAUAAGCUCUUUGUUUUGAGAGUCCAGUGGGCGAAAUUGCCGUGGCAACGGGAAUCGUAAACUUGGGGGGUUUUGGAGAAGAGAAAUCUGAAGCCUAAAAAGAAGCAUCGACCUUGGAUUUUGAGGGAGCGGUGAGGCUGGCUCAGGAUAGGUGAGAGAGAUGAGGGGAGAGAAGACGCCAUUAGAAGAAAAGAGCCUCAGAUGAGCGAGUUAUAGCUGGUCUUCAUAUGUGUUCUCGG
rnacentral:misc_RNA from 1 species